GUGCUUGCUUCAGUGCCACAUAUACUAAAGUUGGAACAAUACAGAGGCUGGCAUGAUCCUUGAGCAAGAAUGGCAUACAAAGUCAUGAAACAUUCCUUAUUAAG